UUUUAAAAUUAUUUAACAUUUUUACAAAUUGAAGUAUUCCCGAUUCUGUACGAAUUAUCAUUUGUCUUCAAGCUAUGGUUCGUACUUGCAUUGUUUGUCAUGUAUCCUCUAAAGAUAAUACAGGCAACGUAUCAUUUCAUUUUUGAAAACAAGUGACGAAAAUAAUCCAUCUCCAAGUGAAGAUAUAGAAAAUGUAAGCGUGUUACCAACAGAGUCAGAGCCAGCUACAUUUUCUGAUUCGUGUGAAGUCGAUUCUAACAGUCAAUAUGAUAUCGCAUUUGCUAUUGAAGAAAAUGCAAAUCUAAAAAUUCGAAACGAUCCAAAUAUGCUUUACAAAUAUUUAAAAGAAACGUGGUCACCGAAACAAAAUUAUAUUUUCCCUGUAAGUAUGAAUAAAAAAGGUCAUAAAAGAAGCUUUCAAAUUGAAUGGCUAAAUAAGCACAACUGAUUAGCUUAUAGUCGUAAUAGAGAAGGAGCGUUUUGUAAAGUAUGUGUACUUUUUGGACCAAAGUUUGGUGAAAUUGGAGGACAAAGGCUUGGGAUCUUAAAAGAAAUUCCUAUGAUAAAAUACAAUGAUGCUUUACACGAUUUUAAGAUACAUAUGGAAAGAGAAUAUCAUAAAACAGCAAUUGUGCGAUCUUUAGAAUUUAUAAAAUUUUUUGAAGGCAAACAAAAAACAAUAGAAAUUCAACUUGAUGAUCAACUAAAUGAAACUGUCAAACAAAAUACAAAGAAGUUAAUUCCUAUAAUUAAAACAAUUAUUUUCUGUGGUCGUCAUAAUAUAUCUAUAAGGAGGCAUAGAGACGAUGUUAAUUUAUCAAAUCUGAUUUCAAAUGAUCAAGCAAAAAAUAAUUUUAAUAUUGGAAUAUUCAAAGAAUUGUUGAUGUUCAGAAUAGACACGGGCGAUGUAGAUGUUCGCAAUCACUUAGAAUCGACUCCAAAAAAAUGCAACAUUUGUUAGUAAAACUAUUCAAAAUAAUUUGAUCGAUAUAUGUGGCUUGAUUAUCACAGACAAAUUAAUAAAAGAGCAAAUACAAUCGUCCAAAAAUUAAAAGAAAUUGGUUUAAGUUUGGAAUUUUUACGAGGGUAGGGAUAUGAUGGUGGAGCAAAUAUGUCUGGUAAAUACCGCGGAGUUCAAGCUAGAAUCUUAAAUUUGCAACCAAAGGCAAUAUACACUCAUUGUGCAUCGCACCGCCUAAAUUUAACUUUAAUAAAAGCAUGUAGAGACAUGAUAUCGAAAGAAAAGUAUCGAUAUUUUCACUUGGUAACGAAUGGAAUGAAAAUAACGAAACGUAACGACCGGUCAGUGACUAAAUGUACCUUGGCCAAAAGAAGAGGAACAAUGACGAAACGUCACACAUGGUAUGGCAGAACUUGCAUCUUAUUCCUUCUACACCCGAUUAUUACAUUUUUUAUUUACUUAAACCACUAAAAUGUCAAAUCUUCAAAAUAGUGGCAACUUGAGAAAUGCUCCUGCGAAGAGUGUCCUUGAUGUGGUGAUAUAGAUAUUGGCAAAUAGUGGUGUAUCAAGUCGACUGAGUAAUCCAGUAAUAGCUAAAAAUUUCUCAUUAUUGAUUGAUAUUAAUGGUAUUAAAGAUGACAUUAAAGAAUUUUCAAGGUCUGAAUGCUAUAAA